rnacentral:rRNA from 1 species
CUGGCUCAGGACGAACGCUGGCGGCACGCUUAACACAUGCAAGUCGAACGGAGUUAUUUUGAGUUUACUUAGAAUAACUUAGUGGCGGACGGGUGAGUAACACGUGAGCAACCUACCUUAGAGAGAGGGAUAGCUUCUGGAAACGGAUGGUAAUACCUCAUAACAUAACUGAACCGCAUGAUUUAGUUAUCAAAGAUUUAUCACUCUGAGAUGGGCUCGCGUCUGAUUAGAUAGUUGGUGAGGUAACGGCUCACCAAGUCGACGAUCAGUAGCCGGACUGAGAGGUUGAACGGCCACAUUGGGACUGAGACACGGCCCAGACUCCUACGGGAGGCAGCAGUGGGGAAUAUUGCACAAUGGGGGAAACCCUGAUGC